rnacentral:rRNA from 1 species
GACGAACGCUGGCGGCGUGCUUAACACAUGCAAGUCGAACGAUGAAGCCUAGCUUGCUGGGUGGAUUAGUGGCGAACGGGUGAGUAACACGUGAGUAACCUGCCCCUUACUCUGGGAUAAGCGCUGGAAACGGCGUCUAAUACUGGAUAUUACCUUUCAUCUCAGGGUGUUUGGUGGAAAGAUUUUUCGGUUUGGGAUGGACUCGCGGCCUAUCAGCUUGAUGGUGAGGUAGUGGCUCACCAUGGCGACGACGGGUAGCCGGCCUGAGAGGGUGACCGGCCACACUGGGACUGAGACACGGCCCAGACUCCUACGGGAGGCAGCAGUGGGGAAUAUUGCACAAUGGGCGCAAGCCUGAUGCAGCAACGCCGCGUGAGGGAUGACGGCCUUCGGGUUGUAAACCUCUUUUAGUAGGGAAGAAGCGUAAGUGACGGUACCUACAGAAAAAGCACCGGCUAACUACGUG